CGUGCACCAGUGGGGUCCCUCGGCCUGGCCUGCGGGAUCGGGCCGAAACUGGCUCUCUGACAUACCCUGAGGAAUACCAGAUUGCAAGAGGGUGCAGGCCAGGCUGAGGGACCCCACUGGUGCACA
rnacentral:pre_miRNA from 1 species